UGUGAAAAAUAUGCACUCUAUGGAAGGAU
rnacentral:piRNA from 1 species